AAGAGGUUAGUUAAUAAAUAACAUUGGCAUGUCAAGCCAAAAUAGUUCCAAUAAACACCCCUUU
rnacentral:tRNA from 1 species